rnacentral:piRNA from 1 species
UAAAGAUGUGGAGACCAGAAGAUCUGAAGA